UGGCGACCGGCGCACGGGUGAGUAACACGUAUCCAACCUGCCGAUGACUCGGGGAUAGCCUUUCGAAAGAAAGAUUAAUACCCGAUGGCAUAGUUCUUCCGCAUGGUAGAACUAUUAAAGAAUUUCGGUCAUCGAUGGGGAUGCGUUCCAUUAGCUUGUUGGCGGGGUAACGGCCCACCAAGGCAUCGAUGGAUAGGGGUUCUGAGAGGAAGGUCCCCCACACUGGUACUGAGACACGGACCAGACUCCUACGGGAGGCAGCAG
rnacentral:rRNA from 1 species